rnacentral:rRNA from 3 species
GGACUACCGGGGUAUCUAAUCCCGUUUGCUCCCCUGGCUUUCGCGCCUCAGCGUCAGUGAAGGUCCAGCGGGCCGCUUUCGCCACCGGCGUUCCUUCCGAUCUCUACGCAUUUCACCGCUCCACCGGAAGUUCCGCCCGCCCCUACCUUCCUCCAGCCCCUCCGUUUCCGAGGACCGCUUCCGGUUGAGCCGGAAGAUUUCACCCCAGACAAAAGGAGCCGCCUACGCGCCCUUUAAGCCCAGUGAUUCCGAACAACGUUUGCACGGUUCGUCUUACCGCGGCGGCUGGCAC